UCUCCGCACUAAGCCUUUUGGUAAGAUGGAAUCUGAUGAAGUCGCUAAGGCCACUCGCCCGACCACUCCGCGCAAUUGCGGGAGUCCUCGCACCAUUUGGCUCUGAUCGCGGUGGCAUGUUGGUACAAGUAUCGGGUCGCGACGGGAGGGAUCGCUAUGUCACUGCGCGUUGGUCUUUGCUUGCAGAGAAAAAUGCCGGCCCAAACGUCCCAGCGGCCGCGGCCGCGGCUAUGAUACGCGCGCUUCAUAGCGG
rnacentral:misc_RNA from 1 species